CUUCACAGGACAAAUGCAGAGUCUUCAUGUGCUGGGAAACUCUUAAAACUAUAUUUGGACAAAAUUUGGUGAGGCUCUUUUCACAAUCUAUUGAGAGGAGCCAAAAGGGGAAGAGGAAUUAUUUGAGAUGCCUGCCACAUUUAGUCAGGAGUUUCUGAAACCCGAACCUCUAUCCUAUGUCAUCUUUGUUUCAGAAAGUCUGAUUCGUUAACAUUUCCCAUCACCUUGGGAAGAAAGCUGAGGAUUAUGGGUUCAUAUUUCUUCUGUGUGAAAGAAGAUAACAAAGGAUAAGGAAAAGACAAAAUGUGUCCUCCCACCACCAAUCCUUGACUCUACAAUUGAGGAGUUGUCAAUGGAAACACUGCAUGAAUUACAUGCAUAAAUACUGGACCUCCAGCGAUCAUCUUGAGGGUGUGAAAAGAGCUUGCAGAUGCAAACUACAUAAUAAGAAAACACAACAGAAAGAUGUAAGGAGCCAUGGUCAAUUAGGUCAUCGUGAUACCACAUUACAAUGCUGGGCUGCUUAUCACUGCAAUUUUAUUAUGAAGAGGAGAAAAAAAUAAAUUUUAUUGAAGUUGUUUCAUUGUAUCUCUGUUAUUGUAUCAGCCAAAUUGAUUUUCUAGCAGAUACAAGAUAUGUAGUGUAUACCAGUUGUUGUCUUUCUAUAACAGUAAUUUUCCUUUGGUGGAAAAGUUUGCUUCCACUAUGC
rnacentral:lncRNA from 1 species